GACGAACGCUGGCGGCGUGCCUAAUACAUGCAAGUAGAACGCUGAAGGAGGAGCUUGCUUCUCUGGAUGAGUUGCGAACGGGUGAGUAACGCGUAGGUAACCUGCCUGUUAGCGGGGGAUAACUAUUGGAAACGAUAGCUAAUACCGCAUAAGAGUAGAUGUCGCAUGACAUUUGCUUAAAAGGUGCAAUUGCAUCACUACCAGAUGGACCUGCGUUGUAUUAGCUAGUUGGUGAGGUAACGGCUCACCAAGGCAACGAUACAUAGCCGACCUGAGAGGGUGAUCGGCCACACUGGGACUGAGACACGGCCCAGACUCCUACGGGAGGCAGCAGUAGGGAAUCUUCGGCAAUGGACGGAAGUCUGACCGAGCAACGCCGCGUGAGUGAAGAAGGUUUUCGGAUCGUAAAGCUCUGUUGUAAGAGAAGAACGAGUGUGAGAGUGGAAAGUUCACACUGUGACGGUAUCUUACCAGAAAGGGACGGCUAACUACGUG
rnacentral:rRNA from 1 species